UACGUAGGGGGCAAGCGUUGUCCGGAAUCAUUGGGCGUAAAGAGCGUGUAGGCGGCCCGAUAAGUCCGCCGUGAAAGCCCAGGGCUCAAACCCUGGGAUGCCGGUGGAUACUGUCGGGCUAGAAUCCGGAAGAGGCGAGUGGAAUUCCUGGUGUAGCGGUGAAAUGCGCAGAUAUCAGGAGGAACACCGAUGGCGAAGGCAGCUCGCUGGGACGGUAUUGACGCUGAGACGCGAAAGCGUGGGGGAGCAAACAGG
rnacentral:rRNA from 1 species